AGAGUUUGAUUCUGGCUCAGAACGAACGCUGGCGGCGUGGAUAAGACAUGCAAGUCGAACGAGAGAAUUGCUAGCUUGCUAAUAAUUCUCUAGUGGCGCACGGGUGAGUAACACGUGAGUAACCUGCCCCCGAGAGCGGGAUAGCCCUGGGAAACUGGGAUUAAUACCGCAUAGUAUCGAAAGAUUAAAGCAGCAAUGCGCUUGGGGAUGGGCUCGCGGCCUAUUAGUUAGUUGGUGAGGUAACGGCUCACCAAGGCGAUGACGGGUAGCCGGUCUGAGAGGAUGUCCGGCCACACUGGAACUGAGACACGGUCCAGACACCUACGGGUGGCAGCAGUCGAGAAUCAUUCACAAUGGGGGAAACCCUGAUGGUGCGACGCCGCGUGGGGGAAUGAAGGUCUUCGGAUUGUAAACCCCUGUCAUGUGGGAGCAAAUUAAAAAGAUAGUACCACAAGAGGAAGAGACGGCUAACUCUGUGCCAGCAGCCGCGGUAAUACAGAGGUCUCAAGCGUUGUUCGGAAUCACUGGGCGUAAAGCGUGCGUAGGCUGUUUCGUAAGUCGUGUGUGAAAGGCGCGGGCUCAACCCGCGGACGGCACAUGAUACUGCGAGACUAGAGUAAUGGAGGGGGAACCGGAAUUCUCGGUGUAGCAGUGAAAUGCGUAGAUAUCGAGAGGAACACUCGUGGCGAAGGCGGGUUCCUGGACAUUAACUGACGCUGAGGCACGAAGGCCAGGGGAGCGAAAGGGAUUAGAUACCCCUGUAGUCCUGGCAGUAAACGGUGCACGCUUGGUGUGCGGGGAAUCGACCCCCUGCGUGCCGGAGCUAACGCGUUAAGCGUGCCGCCUGGGGAGUACGGUCGCAAGAUUAAAACUCAAAGGAAUUGACGGGGACCCGCACAAGCGGUGGAUGAUGUGGAUUAA
rnacentral:rRNA from 1 species